UCCAGACUCCUACGGGAGGCAGCAGUGGGGGAUAUUGCACAAUGGGGGGAACCCUGAUGCAGCGACGCCGCGUGGGUGAAGAAGUAUUUCGGUAUGUAAAGCCCUAUCGGCAGGGAAGAAAUUGGACGGUACCUGACUAAGAAGCCCCGGCUAACUACGUGCCAGCAGCCGCGGUAAUACGUAGGGGGCAAGCGUUAUCCGGAUUCACUGGGUGUAAAGGGAGCGUAGACGGCCAUGCAAGCCUGGAGUGAAAGCCCGGGGCCCAACCCCGGGACUGCUCUGGGAACUGUGCGGCUGGAGUGCGGGAGGGGCAGGCGGAAUUCCUGGUGUAGCGGUGAAAUGCUUAGAUAUCACGAAGAACCCCGAUUGCGAAGGCAGCCUGCCGCAGCGUUACUGACGCUGAAGCUCGAAAGCGCGGGUAUCGAACAGGAUUAGAUACCCCAGUA
rnacentral:rRNA from 1 species